CACAAAAGACCACGUUGUCGGAAGGAAAUUCGAAAACCGGUGCUUUGGUAUGUAUAAUAGUGGCGGGAACUCUUUUUCGUCCUCGGAGGACGAGAGAAGUAAUGGUUCGUCACUGCCCAAGAGACCGGGAGACGAGAAAUUCCGUAAGUACAAUCAAACUUGUCAGAACAUGUCCGGACUCGUGCAUAGAUUUUCAUCCAGCACGUGGCAUACAUUUCACAGUAUUUGACACAAAUACAUCAAUAUUUAGAUGUAGGUAAUUAAUAAAACACAAUGCAUGCCUAUAAUGAGAUCACUACAUUAUCAUCGGGUUUCUUUAUCAUACACAGGCACAUUGGUUACUGUGUCAAGUAUUGCUUUUAACCAGACUUGUGAAAUAGCGUUAGGCUACCUAGGUAGAAGGUACUUAGGUAUAAGGAAUCCACCGUGAUCCCCUCUGGCUAACGAGCCCCAGCACUCAGCAGGUAGUGAGGCAUCUCAAUCACUUAGACCAUUCAAUUGUAACUACCUCAACAAAAGUGAGUACCUACUACUUAGUGCCCACUGACUACAUAAAUAAUUCAAGACAAUUAAGAUGUACUUAGAUUUUAGAUAGUUACAAAACCUGUCUAUCACAAUAUUCUAAAGAGAAGAAAUUGUUAAUUAACUAUUUUAAUAUUAUUUCAAUAUUGAUACAUGUCACAUAUAGAUUUUACAUUACUUAUUAUAGGAUAUGAUAUAGAGUGUAUAAUAUGAGCAACAGUCUCACACAAUAUUCAGUAAGAGCUACUUAUUACUGCAAGUUGAGAUUACCUAAUUUAUCUUAUGGUAAAUAAUUCUUAACAUAAGGAGCUUAUUUUCAUAGCCAAUUGAUACCAGAAUAAGCUUUGAUUCUAUGGGUACUUAUUUGAAUAGUAGUGAAAAAUCAUAAGAAAUAGACAUUGCAGAUUAUAAGAGGUAGAUAUGUUUAUAUACAUUAUCAUCAUCAAGGACCCAUAUUUACUGUAUCCCCGAACAGUUGAAUGAGAUCAUUCUUGGUUAUAAUGUUACUGAUGAUAAUGUUGUUUAUCUAGUUCCUUUCUUACUUAAGUGAAAGAGCUUGCCUUAAAAUUAACACUCAGGUGUGAUAACAAUUCUAUAAUAUCAACAGUAAAGUAACCAAAAUCUUUGUAUUUUUUAUUUGUAUCUUCUACAAAAAUAUGUACUGAAAAUAUGUACAAGGCGUCCUUAGCCAUGAUUAGCUUAGUAUGGUUAUGCUGAAAGAACUGUGUCCAGAAAGACCCAGAAAAAUAUAUGCCAUACUUACAUUCAGAUAUGCUUCUGGCAAUAAGAGCUGAUGGCUCCGCCAGGUUGAUAUUCAACCUGAGACACCUAAACACCUAGGUAUUAACCAGGUAAUUUUGAUACAGAUCACAGAUUAUAACGGUAAUUAAACAUUUUAUCAUUUUACAAAGCCAGGAUUGUCUUGUAAAAUUAGACAUCAUUGGUAACAGUAAUGAGAUUCUCACAAGGUCAGGAUUGGCUUGUACAAUCAGGCAUCAUUGGCCUAUUUUCUGCCUGCAUAUGGCAGCCAUUUCAAAUGGUCGCGGAGACCCUACAGGCUGGAGGUGCCCUCCUUCUGUUUUAUUUAAGCUAUUAAGUUUUGGUCUAUUGAGACCGUUGCAAAAUUAACUUCACAGGUCUUGUAGACUGUGAGGAUUUUGGAAAAGCUUAAUUGGCACUACAGCCACAUAAAGUGCCUUCUGAUUUAGUUGGACAAUUAUCUUUUGGGUCUACCAUGACUAAUCCAAUUUAACUUCACAGGUCGCGGAGACCAUGGAGGUUUUGGUAAAGCCUGAUUGGCAGGACUAUUCCAAUUCAACUUCACAGGUCGCGGAGACCAUGGGGGUUUUGGUAAAGCCUGAUUGACAAGACUAUUCCAAUUCAACUUCACAGGUCGCGGAGACCAUGGAGAUAUUGGUAGAGCUUGAUUGGCACUCCAAUCACAAAAAGGGCCACAGCCCUCUGAUUUAGUUAAACUAUCAGGAUUAUUCUAAUAAUUUAACUUCACAGGUCUCGGAGACCAUGGAGAUUUUAGUAAAGCCACAGAAUGAGCUACAGCCUUCUAGUUAGACAAUUAUCUUUUCGUCUACAAGGAUUGUUCCAAUUAACUCUACAGGUCCCGGAGACCAUAGAGAUUUUGGGAAGGCAGGUUUGGCACAUCAAUUACAAAGUGUACAUUGUAAGCCUGGAUACUUGUGCCUCAUGUGUAAUACUAUAGAAAUGUCUGUGUUAUUGCCAGUCCCAAAAGCCUCAAAGAUAGAGCAUACUGUGGUAGUCAUUAAAAGGACCAUGUCUUGCACUAAAUAAGAGUUGCAGACAGUUCUAGACAUCUAACACUGAGAGGACUGUACAGUUGUCGCCUCCAGGUAUUUCUCUAGAGUUUCGCGCACAGCAGACCAAGAGAGAAAGGCUUUCCCUCUACAUGCUAUACAAGACUUAAGAGUUGUGGAAAAGAAACAUAGACAGAAAUGUAAUAGUCUUUGUAAAAGAACAAGUUUCUCACUUCCUAACUACAGAUACCGCGGAUGCGGGCUGAGUAGGACAUCUGAACAGUACUUACCUGUCAGAGAAAUGAAGAGGGAAGCAGGGGACUUGGCAUUAGAACUUCUGACUUAGAUGUCGUGUACCAGAUAUGCAAUAAAAGUGCUUCUGAGUAAAUUGCAAGGGGUGCACAUCCUGUAGCCCAAGCUAUCAAUCAGACUUUGGUCGCCCACAUACAAAGGUUGCUGACUCUCUUAGCUCUUACAACUGAGUAACUGUACCUAGCUGAAAAGUUGAGAAUAACUCUUGGCACGCUUCCAGGACGCCUAAGUGGCCUUUGAUUUAGAUUGCCUCUCAAGAAAUCAACCUGUACCGGAGUGGCUUCUCCUACCUUGUACAACAGGAAAUAUAAUAUUUCGGAAGCUCCUGAUAUGGACCAUUUCGCUACCCAAAGGAAUGCUUUAGUGCCAAGGCAUAUUUGCCAAAGCCUGCUCCGAAUUUUGCGACAUCUGCAGUCGUUGAUGGAGCUGACGCCUAGACUGAAUAUUCCCUUUCAAGGGUAAUCCUCCAAGUGCACUAGCGCACCUCGCACCCCGGGACCGGGGCAGAUACAUAGCACCCAAGGGUGGCUUAUGGUUGAUAUAAUAAAUAAUAAUAAUAUACGGGCAUUUCUCCGCAACUCAAUGUCAAGCGCCUAAAGAUGGCUUAUGGUUAUUGACUAUUAUGGUUAUAUAUGGUUAUUGACCCGGAAGUCAUGAGCACUCAGACCAUUGGUGAAUGGCCUUACGGCCUUAUGGCCCCCCAACUGCUCAGUCAGAAAAAGGGGGGGGGGGGAGGGGAGAAAACAGCCCAUUGUAAAGCAAAGGAGAAAGAGCAGUUAAGUAGUGGUGCCCCUCCACAGUGCCAACAUAUGACCCUCCAAGCAGGAGGUGACUUUCAUAAUGCAAUGCUUAAAAAAAAAAAAAAGAAUGCAUGUAAUCUAGUACACAGGGAUUCUAUUUAAUUGGCUUAAGUCUAUCAUAAGCAAGCUCAACCUGUUCAUGACAUGAACAUGACUUCUGAAAACCUCAAAAUACAGUUUUUUAUCACAGCAAGAUAAGAUUAUAACCUGACCAGAAUUUGGAUACUAAAUGGAUACAACAACACAUUAUCCAUCAGGUGGUCGGUUGUGAGGAAACUCAGACACAUAGAUAUGCCCAGUGACCCAUGUGGAAAGGUUGGUUCAAGUAACAAAGGACUGAUUUUCAAUCUUAAAAGUAGAUAAUUGAUUCUUAUCUAAAUUAUAUAAAGGGGCGGACCCUUUAACCUUGCAACACAAACCUUUAUCUCUGGCUAGUUAAGGUCCCUCCAGAUCUUAAAGACAGUAAACAUAGCAGCCCUGUCCAGCAGUGGCUUCAAGAAUGUGGUAAGGGCACCAACCCGUGGAGGCAGUGGAAGGACCAUACAGUCAAUUAUAAAAGUUUUACUGUCAAUCAGUCAAUUUAGCCAGUGCCAGUGAGUCUGGUUUACUUUAAGCAGAUAUCAAACACAUCUUCAUCCAACGCUGUGUGUUUUAGAAAGACACAUAAUAUUGAUGUUUUGCAUUAAAACAAAACAUGUAUUAUGUGUCGAAUAAAACACACAGCGUUGCAGUUUACUGCUUGCUGAUGAAGAUGCUAUGGAGCUUGGAAGAUGACAGCGCGUCAAAGGCGAUGAUGACAGAUGCCAUACUAGGGACGCGCUCUUGCUAGUGAGGUGAAAGAUCCAUCGAUAUUUGGUAAGGUGACCCAAUUUGCAUAGAGAUAUAUAGGAUUCAUAGACUGCUUUCUUCAUCCAACGCUGUGUGUUUUAUUCGACACAUAAUACAUGUUUUGUUUUAAUGCAAAACAUCAAUAUUA